AACUCGCCCUGAUCCGCUGGCAGACAACUAGAGAAAUCCCACACGACCAUCGAACUCGCUUUCUAAAGGCGGGCGAAAUGGCGAGUGGACUCUGCGGUGCAGUGCAACUGAAUGGAAUUGGUCACAAGGUCCUCUGGGUACAGCGUGGACUGGAGCAAGUUGCGGAGAUUGACACUACCAGAUAAACAUGAUCAAGCUUUGAUUCUGACAACGUGCUGUUUCCGAAGCGAGGGACAGUGUAAACCUGUAUAUUGAAUGGUUAAAAAAAUCUUUUCAUACCAAGAGUUGUCUCAAUUUGGUUUCACAGGCAAGCUCGGCUCCACCUUGAAUGUAGAGCGCUGGCAAGCGGCAGUAUUCUUGCACCGAAGUACUUGAACGCAAAGACAAUAUUGCCAAAGGACAAUGUGUGUGCAAAGUCUGAUCACAAACACAUGCAAUGUUUACAAUCGGCACUUUCAUACAAUACAGUGAGACUUUCAACAGCCCCUUUCAUUAUGAAGCCACGCGCUGUAUACUUUGCAACAAUGCAUGAAAGGGAGGUUUGGUGGAUGUGUAUUAUGCAAUAACCUUCCGCCACAAGCCCUUCUACCUUAGUCUGCUCGAAUGCAUGCCGCGACUUGUAGUCCUGCACCUUAGCGUGUUCCAGGAGGCAGCGCUUGGUGGGGGAAGAUGAGAAGACUGUCUGUCAUCGUGCGUUUCAGGUAAGGAUAAGAGCCAUUGAGUGAUACAGCGUGGAAACAGACCGUUCGGCCCAA